rnacentral:rRNA from 1 species
UAAAAUUGAUCUCCCCGUGCAGAAGCGGGGAUACGCGCGUAAGACGAGAAGACCCUAUGGAGCUUUAGAUAUAAAGCAACCCACGUCAAGCCCCCCUUUAAAGGAAACGAACAAAAUGAGCCUUGCUGAUAUGUCUUCGGUUGGGGCGACCACGGGGAAAGACAAAACCCCCACAUGGAUCGGGGCCACUCAGCCCUAAAACAUAGACCCACAGGUCAAAUCAAGAGCAUUUCUGACCACUAAAGACCCGGCACAAGCCGAUCAAUGGACCUAGUUACCCUAGGGAUAACAGCGCAAUCCCCUCCAAGAGCCCUUAUCGACGAGGGGGUUUACGACCUCGAUGUUGGAUCAGGACAUCCUAAUGGUGCAGCCGCUAUUAAGGGUUCGUUUGUUCAACGAUUAAAGUCCUACGUGAUCUGAGUUCA